CGGGACGGGUGAGUAACGCGUGGAUAACCUGCCUCAUACAGGGGGAUAACAGUUAGAAAUGACUGCUAAUACCGCAUAAGCGCACAGAGAUGCAUGUCUCGGUGUGAAAAACUCCGGUGGUGUAAGAUGGACCCGCGUCUGAUUAGCUUGUUGGCGGGGUAGGGGCCCACCAAGGCGACGAUCAGUAGCCGGCCUGAGAGGGUGGACGGCCACAUUGGGACUGAGACACGGCCCAAACUCCUACGGAAGGCAGCAG
rnacentral:rRNA from 1 species